rnacentral:rRNA from 1 species
GGGAGUACCAGCUACCAUGCAGUCGAGCGGUAACAGGGGGUGCUUGCACCCCGCUGACGAGCGGCGGACGGGUGAGUAAUGCAUAGGAAACUGCCCAGUAGUGGGGGAUAGCCCGGGGAAACCCGGAUUAAUACCGCGUACGCCCUUCGGGGGAAAGCAGGGGAUCUUCGGACCUUGCGCUAUUGGAUGUGCCUAUGUCGGAUUAGCUAGUUGGUGGGGUAAAGGCCUACCAAGGCGACGGUCCGUAGCUGGUCUGAGAGGAUGAUCAGCCACAUCGGGACUGAGACACGGCCCGAACUCCUACGGGAGGCAGCAGUGGGGAAUAUUGGACAAUGGGGGCAACCCUGAUCCAGCCAUGCCGCGUGUGUGAAGAAGGCUUUCGGGUUGUAAAGCACUUUCAGUGAGGAGGAAAACUCUGCGACUAAUACUCGUAGGGCUUGACGUUACUCACAGAAGAAGCACCGGCUAACUCCGUGCCAGCAGCCGCGGUAAUACGGAGGGUGCAAGCGUUAAUCGGAAUUACUGGGCGUAAAGCGCGCGUAGGUGGUUUGAUAAGCGAGAUGUGAAAGCCCCGGGCUUAACCUGGGAACGGCAUUUCGA